GUAAUGUCAUGGAAUGCACAGGCCCAGGUGCAGGAAGUUCCUGUUGGUCCUGGACCUAGCUCCUGUGGCAACCUACAGGCUCUGGUGUCUGGAUGGGUUUCAUCCAUGAGGGACAGAUCUGAUCUAAAGCCUUCACAUGAAGUUCAGAACCUAUCUUGAGAAUGACCAAGGACAUCAAGGAAGCUUUUUGCCUCUUUUCAUCAGGAAAACAGUUUUUCUUUCAACAUGAGGUCACCUCUGAUUGUAUUUACUGAGUCCCUGCUUUAUGCUUGUUAAUACUGCUGGGUGCAGACCACAUGGUGGGGAACAUGACCAUCUUGUGAGAAGCUCACUGCUCUGUCUCCCGCUCUGUCCCCUACAUCAGGCUCUACACACAGAAGAGCCAGAGUUCAAAAGAAGAGAGGAUGGUUUGGUAAUAGAAGACCUCGUUCACAUCCCAGUAUCACCAUAGGAGCCUUGUAACCAAGUCUUUCAUUGUACCUAAGCCUCAGUUUCCUAAUCUUAAAUUAGGAGAUAAUGAUGCUCUGCAGAAUUGUUGCAGCAAUUAAAUAAAACCGUGUCUAUAA